AACGAACGCUGGCGGCAUGCCUAACACAUGCAAGUCGAACGAGACCUUCGGGUCUAGUGGCGCACGGGUGCGUAACGCGUGGGAACCUGCCCUUAGGUUCGGAAUAACUCCCCGAAAGGGGUGCUAAUACCGGAUAAUGUCCUCGGACCAAAGAUUUAUCGCCUUUGGAUGGGCCCGCGUUGUAUUAGCUAGUUGGUAGGGUAAAAGCCUACCAAGGCGACGAUCCAUAGCUGGUCUGAGAGGAUGAUCAGCCACACUGGGACUGAGACACGGCCCAGACUCCUACGGGAGGCAGCAGUGGGGAAUAUUGGACAAUGGGCGAAAGCCUGAUCCAGCAAUGCCGCGUGAGUGAUGAAGGCCUUAGGGUUGUAAAGCUCUUUUACCCGGGAUGAUAAUGACAGUACCGGGAGAAUAAGCACCGGCUAACUCCGUG
rnacentral:rRNA from 1 species